rnacentral:rRNA from 1 species
GUGUCAGCAGCCGCGGUAAUACGUAGGUGGCAAGCGUUGUCCGGAUUUACUGGGCGUAAAGGAUGCGUAGGCGGAUAUUUAAGUGAGAUGUGAAAUUCCCGGGCUUAACUUGGGAGCUGCAUUUCAAACUGGAUAUCUAGAGUGUGGGAGAGGAGAAUGGAAUUCCUAGUGUAGCGGUGAAAUGCGUAGAGAUUAGGAAGAACACCAGUGGCGAAGGCGAUUCUCUGGACCAUAACUGACGCUGAGGCAUGAAAGCGUGGGUAGCAAACAGGAUUAGAUACCCUAGUAGUCC